GAGCCUCACUACCAGGAGCAGCUAGCAGACAGUAGAACUGCAAAACAAAGGUAGCUUGAUUGGUGGAACAUCAAUACCAUCAAUACCAUGGGGCUCUUGCUUCUGGCUCCAAGCGCCCAGUGUGUGCUGGGCCCAACCCACUCCAGUGAUAAUGUCAGGUGGGGAGUUUGACUGGGGCGGUACACCUGUCAAAUCGUAACGCAGGUGUCCUAAGGCGGGCUCAGGGAGGACAGAAACCUCCUGUGGAGCAGAAGGGCAAAAGCUCGCUUGAUCUUGAUUUUCAGUAUGAAUACAGACCGUGAAAGCGGGGCCUCAUGAUCCUUCUGACUUUUUAGGUGUUAAGCAGGAGGUGUCAAAAAAGUUACC
rnacentral:ncRNA from 1 species